UACGAAGGGGGCUAGCGUUGCUCGGAAUCACUGGGCGUAAAGCGCACGUAGGCGGAUUGUUAAGUCAGGGGUGAAAUCCUGGAGCUCAACUCCAGAACUGCCUUUGAUACUGGCGAUCUCGAGUCCGGGAGAGGUGAGUGGAACUGCGAGUGUAGAGGUGAAAUUCGUAGAUAUUCGCAAGAACACCAGUGGCGAAGGCGGCUCACUGGCCCGAUACUGACGCUGAGGCACGAAAGCGUGAGGAGCAAACAGG
rnacentral:rRNA from 1 species